rnacentral:rRNA from 1 species
GAUGAACGCUGGCGGCGUGCCUAAUACAUGCAAGUCGAGCGAACGGACGAGAAGCUUGCUUCUCUGAUGUUAGCGGCGGACGGGAGAGUAACACGUGGAUAACCUACCUAUAAGACUGGGAUAACUUCGGGAGACCGGAGCUAAUACCGGAUAAUAUAUUGAACCGCAUGGUUCAAAAGUGAAAGUCGGUCUUUCUUUCACUUAUAGAUGGAUCCGCGCUGCAUUAGCUAGUUGGUAAGGUAACGGCUUACCAAGGCAACGAUGCAUAGCCGACCUGAGAGGGUGAUCGGCCACACUGGAACUGAGACACGGUCCAGACUCCUACGGGAGGCAGCAGUAGGGAAUCUUCCGCAAUGGGCGAAAGCCUGACGGAGCAACGCCGCGUGAGUGAUGAAGGUCUUCGGAUCGUAAAACUCUGUUAUUAGGGAAGAACAUAUGUGUAAGUAACUGUGCACAUCUUGACGGUACCUAAUCAGAAAGCCACGGCUAACUACGUG